AGAGUUUGAUCAUGGCUCAGAAUCAACGCUGGCGGCGCGCUUAACACAUGCAAGUCGCACGAGAAAGUGGAGCAAUCCAUGAGUACAGUGGCGUACGGGUGAGUAACACGUGGAUCAUCUACCUUCUAGUGGGGAAUACCUCCGGGAAACUGGAGACAAUACCGCAUAAGCUCGAGAGAGGAAAGCCGAAAGGCGCUGGAAGAGGAGUCCACGGCUGAUUAGCUAGUUGGCGGGGUAAUGGCCCACCAAGGCGAAGAUCGGUAGCCGGCCUGAGAGGGCACACGGCCACACUGGCACUGAAACACGGGCCAGACUCCUACGGGAGGCAGCAGUGGGGAAUCUUGCACAAUGGAGGAAACUCUGAUGCAGCGACGCCGCGUGAGCGAUGAAGCCCUUCGGGGUGUAAAGCUCUUUCGACGGGAACGAUAAUGACGGUACCCGAAGAAGAAGCUGCGGCUAACUACGUGCCAGCAGCCGCGGUAAUACGUAGGCAGCAAGCGUUGUUCGGAAUUACUGGGCGUAAAGAGUGUGUAGGCGGUGUUCUAAGUUUGUCGUGAAAUCUCCCGGCUUAACUGGGAGGGUGCGGCGAAAACUGGAAUGCUAGAGGAUGGGAGAGGUAAGCGGAAUUCCUGGUGUAGCGGUGAAAUGCGUAGAUAUCAGGAGGAACACCUGUGGUGUAGACAGCUUACUGGACCAUUUCUGACGCUGAGACACGAAAGCGUGGGUAGCAAACAGGAUUAGAUACCCCAGUAGUCC
rnacentral:rRNA from 1 species